rnacentral:lncRNA from 1 species
UGAGCAGAUCUUACUCUGAAGAGAGAUUUCAGCUGCCCAUACAUUCAAUCCUCUCCUUCCCCUUUGGAAAAUACUUGGACCCAAAUGCCCCCUCCCAACCACACCAGACACACACACACACAUACACACACACAGUAAUUUAAGACUUCCACUCCAGAGCUUCAGUUCUUCUGUAGAAUGGCUGCACAUUUUAACUGCACCAUUGCAAGAAGGAAGCUCUAACAUGUGCUUUGGAUCUUAGGAGGAAUUCACUUGGUAAACCAGAGCCAUGAUUUGAAAUAAGUGAGAUAGGGUUUCCUCCUUGUGCCCUGACCACAUUCUCUGUGCCCCUGCAAAUCUUCAUGCCUUAAAAGGGCAGCUGGGGGCCUGACAGAGGUUGGUCCUCUUCUAGCAAAGUGUGCUCUGGGACGAGAACUUGGCGGAGCCAGCCAGUGCAUCUUAACCUGUCUCUGCCCACCUAGCAUCAUUUCUGGCCUUGGUGGCACACCUUUGCUCCAGUUUCAAAUCAAGUAGAACACAGCCAAUUGCCUUGGAGUCACGUCAGAAGUAGCAAGAAUUUGUUUGCAAAUUGGGUAACAGCUGACCCUUGAACAACACAGGUUUGAGCUGCAUGGGUCCACUUCUAUGUAGAUAUCUUCCGAUGGUAAAUACAGCAGACCUACCCUGUGGUCGAAUCCACGAUGCAAAGGAACCAUGGUUCCAGACAGCUGACUAUAGGUUAUAUGAGGAUUAACCCUCAAGUUGUUCAAGGGUCAGGUGUAGUUUAAACGUCUCUAAUUUUCUUUUUAUUAAAGUAUAGUUGAUUUACAAUGUUGUGCCAAUUUCUGCUGUACAGCAAAGUGACCAAAUCAUUCAUAUAUAUAUAUGUAUGUAUGUAUGUGUGUGUAUAUAUAUAUACACACACACACAUUCUUUUGGAAAUAUUUUCCAUCAAGGUCUAUCCCAGGAGAUUGAAUAUAGUUUCGUGUGCUAUAUGGUAGGACCUUACUGUCUAUCCAUUCUAAAAGUAAUAGUUUGCAGCUAUUAACCCCAAACUCCCAGUCCAUCCCACUCUCUUACCCCUCCCCUGGUGUAAUUCAUUUUUUAAAUGCAAAUUUUAAAGUGGCCUUGACUGAGGCAAUUCCGAUAUCUCAGUGGAUAUUUUAAACCACUGACGAAGAACAGUAAGGGAAUUUAUAGACACCCUAGCCAUCCGAGCAGCAACUUCUCUAUUGUCAGGGUCCCUGGAGAGGGUCCUAGGUAGGAAUUUCAUAUUGGUUUUGUCUCCUCCUCAGGCCCAUGCACCAAAGCCAUGAGUAGAUGUCCACUUACCUGGUAUUUUAAACUCUCUGUAAAUUAUUAGCCAAAUAGAGCUGUGAGGGGGUUGUAUUUAUGGGCGUGUAGAAAGAACACACAAGCACCUCAUAGACCAGGAUGAUUAAGUUUGUUUUAAAAGGAAGAGCAGAUAGCCCUGUCUUGAGUUCCCUGGACAACUCCUAGACUUGAGAUAAUUGAGAAUUAUGGCCUGAUUCCAGACCCCAGAGCCAGCCUCCACCCUUCUCCCUUGCCUCUCUUUGUCCUUUUUUUUUUUAUUUUUUCUUGUCAUUUCUACCCCCAGCUAGGGUCAUUCAAAAACUGCCUGGGUGAUCUGAGAAAAGCCAGUAAUCCAGUUUGGCCUGUUUUAAUAGCAUCUUCUCUCUCCGAUGCUAUCCCCCCCAUCUGUGGUUGAGGAAAGAGUUAUUCGUUCAUUUUUCACACAGAAGGGCAUUGAGUCCUGUUGGGCCAUUACCUGCAUGUGGCAGCAGGACUUUCCAUUUCUCCGAGGUUAGUGCUUGAAUGAAGACUUAUUUUGGCUGAGUCCACUGAGGUUGUGCCACUGAGUCCCGGGUGGCUGGUGGUAUAAUCUUGGUGUUCUGAUCACUUUCAAGCACUGCCAUCACUUUGUUUCCGUGGGCUUCUGUCACACAAGAUGAAAAUGAGAAGUGUUAGAAUUGGAGAAGGUGAUUUGGAAUUCACCCUCCUUUGCAGGCUGUUUUCAUGGACCAUUUCCUGUGUGUGAAAGUAGGAGAGCUGUGCUGGUGGCUGGUGUCCUUGCAGAGAAUGUGUGCAAGACUUGACUCCAAGCCUUUGUUGCCUAAGGCACUUGUUAAAACUGUCGGCCGGAAACCAAAUCCUUUGUACCCUCCUUUGUGCCAGGAAUAGGUCCUUAUUUCCCAGUUACUGUUUGAAGUAACAUUUAAAAGCAAUAGGAAAGAAAAUGAGAAAGAUAUGUUAGUUGUCAGUUGUUCUGAGCCAGAACUGGGCAGAUGUGGGAAAUUUCCGUAUAGUGUAUAAAAAUUUCACUCUGCAGGGAAGUUGUUUUCCUCUGUGUCUCUUCUUUGACCUUAAUUGAUUGAAAAUAGCAUUACUAUUAAGAUUAUUCAAAAUUUUACUGUUACUAUAAAAUUAUUCAGAAUAUGUUACUAUAAAAUUAUUCAAAAUAUUGUUACUAUAAAAUUAUUCAAAAUUUUACUGUUGCUAUAAAAUUCAAAAUAUCAUGACAAUGAAACUGCCUUAAUUUGUAGACUAUUAAAGUGAUCUCC